CUGCCGUUUUUAAAGACCCCUCCCCGGGGGCUGGUCUUGCCCACCUCAUGCACUGCAAGCGGAAGCUGUGAUGUGACUCGUGUUUUCUGCGCGUGUCCCAGGACCGAAGACACGUACAACUGCCCGACUUGCUGUUUCUCUCAUCCUAGAUACCGAAAAAACAAAAGUUCUGGAGAGGACAAGGAAGGCUUAAGUGCAAAGAAUGUCUUGGCAGUGGUUAGAGGGCAUUUUAAUUAAAUCCCAAACUGGGGUACGUGAGAUUAUUUCCCUCUCGGAGGGUCACCGUUAGGUUAAGUCCUGGUUAAACCCUGCACAAAGUGUUGCAUGAAUGUUCUCCCAUCAGGGAGUUAGGCAGCUUUCCAAGCUCUUUGUCCUUGACCUUGUUGCAAAUGUGUGGGGAGUUUUGAGGUUCUCACAGUCUGUACGUCUCCCAUUGGCUUUCUCUGAAGUUUGUCUUGAGCCUGGAUGUGGCAUCAGCACUGGGGGC